CUGAGAGAGAGGAGUUUGGUCUGUCUCAUAACUCAUCCUCUUUAACAAACAUUCCAGUCUCUUCAACUGAGACACAGCAGCAUGUUGCUCCACCUGUGAAAGCCAGUGGUCAUAGCCACUGAUAAAAAGGAAGAACAUCUAGUGAGCUCUUUCACUCAGGUAAAUCACAACAAGGACCUGGGAAUCACCAUACCUUUGUAGCUGAUGGCAUACAGCAACAUUCACACAACCUUCAACACUCCAGUAGGAGCCCUGGCAGUGCUUUGUUUCACUAGGAGAUGCUGAAAUCAAACUGGCCACUCCUUGGGCUUGCAUUGGAUUUACACUCUGCUCAGGGAUGGAGUAGAGAGCCCAGACUGGCAGUUCAGGGUAUCAAAUGAUCUGGCUCUAGCCUACCCCUUGUCUCUGAGUUUGCAAAUGCCACAUCCUCUGGGAAAGUCUUGGUGGUGUUAGGUAGGGAUGGUGAUUGGGCCAUUCAUAUAAUAUUGUGGGAAUGCAGGUUUAAACCUUCUACCUCUCUGACCGAGAAAGGUAUCCGCUCCCAGGAGAGAACCCAAAGCUGUGAACCAUAGGGGCUUUUUGCAAAAAUACUAAAUGAGCAAGAAGAUACUAAACAAUUAUCAUCUAGAGUGCUUUCCAGAGAACUAGGCUCAAGACUACAGUAAGCCAGGUGAGUGUUCCGCCCUUUCCACUACUGUGUGCAAAAAAACAAAGGAAAAUAUGUUGUUGUCUAGAGGAACCUCCAGGGCUUCCUAAGGAAAAUUGCUGAGCUAGUUUAGCUGUUACUUGAGUCACUGACUAGGGAAAGCUGGGAGACUGAGCUGAAUGGAGACUGGCCCUGUCUUGCAGCCUGCAGCUGGGAACCAACCUCCCUUUCAUGAUCCAGACCUUGUUUCUUACUUUCUGCUGGCAUAGGCAGCUGCAGCCUGUUUCAGUUGCUACUGUGGAAGCCUUUUUCAAAUAUCUAAUGCUUCUUUGAACUGUGUGUAUGAGUUUGUGUGUCUAACACAGUACCUUGCUAUUUUUAUUUGUAUUUUUUUUCUAUAGAGCCACUGACUCCCAGCAUUGGUGGGAGCUGUCUAAAUAUUCAGAUGUUCUUCAACAAAGGCAUUGCAUAAAUUUUCUUCUCCAGACAACCCCUCUUAAAUGUUAAUACCAAGGGGUUUUUUCCUAUUGCUUUACUGCUUUUUUUUUGUUGUUGUUUUUAUUUUCUGUUCUCAUAGAAGCAGUCCCACAGAAAUCGUAUCAUCAGACUUUCUCUACAGUCUCAGGCAAAGCGAAUUUUCUGAUAUUUUACUGCCAGACAGCAAUUACUCAACAGACACAUUUUCCCAUUCCUUUUGCAACAAUGCUUACUUUGUUUUCAAGUUUUGACGGGUUAUAUUCAUCUAUGUCUUCUUUAUCUUGACAGAUUGUUUUCCUGCUGCUGCUCCAGCUUCUGCUGUUAAUCUAACAUCUGAUAAAUGGGCCCAGCUGGCAGCAGAUGUGAACCCACCAUGGCAGAGUCUCUUUCUCAGAUGAGAAAGAGAAUCACAUUCAUAACCAUGCUGUUUUGGAUUCACUUUGCAAGAAGGCUGCCAAUUUUCCACGAACUUGUAAGAACUUAGCAUCUUUGAGAAUGUUGCACCUCUCUCAAAUUUGGCUCAAGUUGGCUGUUGACUGAAACUGGAGUUGGGAGGCAGACAGGCAGAUGGCAUAUUUGCUCAAGGGUUGUUCAUCUGGAAAAACAAGCUAAAAGAAGAAAACAAAUUCACACAGAAGAAACCUGACUGGACUUCUGAAAAACCUCCAACCACGUUCACAUGUAACAAUAUCUGAG